rnacentral:misc_RNA from 1 species
CGGUUUCUUCGUCACUCUUCGCGUUUCCGCUAACCCAAACCCAUUCACUCGCACGUCCAACCCAAAUGCCAUGAAUCAGCGCAUGACCUUUCUCUCAUCUUCUUGUAGCUUCGUAAUACUACCAAAAAUCUUCCAUUUACCUCUCCGGACCACCCAAAAUUGAUCCAUUUCUCUUUUCAUUUAAGAUCCGCUGAAUUUUACACCCUGAUUUUGCUCCUAGUUUACGAUCUCCAUCCUCUCUUUCCUCCCAAAACAACUAAACCCUAUAUUUGUAUUCACCAUCUUCCUCCGGUGCUCCUGCCUUCUUUGUAUUCACGAGUUGUCGAGAAACCCUAGAUUUCAUUCUUCUCUUUUUUGUAUAAAUUUUCCUUUGCUAGACUUUAAUUUUGGCAACUUGCGAUUUCAUUCUUCACCAAACGCUAUAGCUUUUAGUCCCAUUGGUUUGGUAACUAUUGACGGUUAUAGUUCUUUUGUUGGUUUUCUUUUGGUAGUUUUUGCACAAAUUUUGGGUUUGAAUCGGCUAGUUAGUUAGAUUUACGGUUGUUGAUGAUGAAUAAUAAUAAUAGAGGGCGGUAUCCGCCGGGGAUAGGCGCCGGUAGAGGCGGAGUUAUGAACGCGAAUCCUAGUUUUCAGUCGAGGGUUCCGCAGCAGCAGUAUGUGCAGAGGAAUUUGAUGCAGAAUCACCAACAGUUUCAACACCAGCAAUAUCAACAGCAACAACAACAACAACAUCAGCAACAGCAGCAGUGGUUGAGGAGGAGCCAGUUACCUCCUGCAGAUUCCAGUGUUGACGAGGUUGAGAAGACCGUUCAGUCUGAGGCCGUUGACUCAAGUUCGCAAGAUUGGAAGGCGAGGCUAAAUAUACCACCACCUGAUACACGCUACAAAACAGAGGUAUGGGUCUUAACUACAUGUUUACAUGCUUGCAAAGUCAUGGUUGUGAUUAUGUGACUUACCUUGUUAGGAGUUUUAGAAGAUUUUGGUCUUUUUUCUGUAUUUGGAAUCCCGAGAAAUCUUUCCCCUUAUGUUUCUCUUUGUGAUAGAGUUUGGCCUGUGAUUAAUAUACGGCUGCUGGGAAUUCUUAGUUAUUUGUGAUAAAGAGAUUGACUGGCUUUUUGACUUAACAAGGAAAUUGUAAGUUAUGGAAGAUUUUUUAGAUAUCUUAGAAAAUUGCUCUAUGAAAUUGGAAGAUUGCAAAUUACAACAACAUGAUAGGUGAAACUCGUAUGAGAUUAAAUGGCUUCCUAUACCCUCUGCGAGCUACAACUGUUAUCUUUCAGUUCCCUUUGGCUCUGGAUGCAGGGAACUGCAUUAUGCAUUUACCUGAUAACAUCUUCUCAACUGUAGGAUAUCUUGGAUCUUUAGAGAAGUAUUCUGAAAAAAGGCAAGUAUUUCAGGUGUUAGCAUGUGCAUAUUUCUAGUGUUACUGGUAAUGGUAGGCUGUACUUUGUUACUAUGAUCUUCUAGAACUUUCUUUUGCACUUCAUUUCUGCUUUGCUUUUCCUUCCAUAUGAAUAAUAUAUUGAACGUAUUAUUUGAGAAUGUUUAGUUGCUUGCAUUAUCAGUUCUUAGGUUUAGGGUUAACGGGGCUCUUCUAUCUGAACACGAGUUCUCAUAUGAGAGCAGUUGUGCCUUAUGAAGAUUGUCUGGGUUUGUUGUCCUGGAAAUAGUUUAAAGCCUGUAGUCAGAUGAAAACUAAUAUGGUACCAUUUUUUUAAAUGGAUUAAUGAAGUAGAAUGGUGCAUGUAGACAUUUUUUUAUGUGCCUAUGAGUUGUGAUAUACCUUGUUCAGGAUGUGACAGCCACAAAAGGAAAUGAAUUUGAGGACUAUUUUCUGAAACGUGAAUUGCUUAUGGGAAUCUAUGAGAAGGGGUUUGAAAGACCAUCCCCAAUUCAGGAAGAAAGCAUACCAAUUGCUCUUACUGGUAGUGAUAUUCUGGCUAGAGCUAAAAAUGGCACUGGUAAAACAGCAGCCUUUUGCAUUCCUGCCUUGGAAAAAAUUGACCAAGAUAACAAUGUUAUUCAAGUUAUUAUACUUGUUCCAACAAGGGAGUUGGCUCUUCAGACAUCACAAGUUUGUAAGGAGCUUGGGAAGCAUUUGAAAAUUCAAGUAAUGGUCACCACUGGUGGUACAAGUCUAAAAGAUGAUAUCAUGCGUUUAUACCAACCAGUACAUUUACUUGUGGGUACUCCUGGAAGAAUACUAGAUCUUGCAAAGAAGGGUGUUUGCAUUUUGAAAGAUUGUUCAAUGCUUGUUAUGGAUGAGGCUGAUAAACUUUUGUCUCCAGAAUUUCAACCCUCUAUAGAGCAGCUGAUUCGCUUUCUUCCUCCAGCUCGUCAGAUUUUGAUGUUCUCAGCUACAUUUCCUGUUACUGUUAAGGAUUUCAAGGAUAGAUAUUUAAAAAAGCCUUAUAUUAUCAAUCUUAUGGAUGAGCUUACUCUCAAGGGUAUUACACAGUAUUAUGCUUUUGUUGAAGAGCGGCAGAAAGUACACUGUCUAAACACUCUUUUCUCUAAGCUUCAAAUAAACCAAUCAAUCAUAUUCUGCAACUCUGUGAAUCGAGUAGAACUUUUGGCCAAGAAGAUCACAGAGCUCGGAUAUUCUUGUUUUUACAUCCACGCAAAGAUGUUGCAAGACCAUCGUAACAGAGUGUUUCAUGACUUCCGCAAUGGUGCAUGCAGGAAUCUUGUUUGUACUGAUUUGUUUACCAGGGGUAUAGACAUCCAAGCAGUUAACGUAGUUAUUAAUUUUGAUUUCCCCAAGAAUUCUGAAACAUAUCUUCACAGGGUUGGUAGAUCAGGCAGGUUUGGACACCUUGGUUUGGCUGUGAAUUUGAUCACCUAUGAGGACCGCUUUAACUUGUAUAGGAUUGAGCAAGAGCUUGGGACUGAAAUUAAGCAAAUUCCUCCACAUAUUGAUCAGGCAAUAUAUUGCCGGUAACCUGCACCAGAUAUCUUGCCCUUUAUUCAACAAUGAUGAGCGGCAACAAUGGCUAGCAAUGGUGAGUAAUUGCGGUGGAGUGCAUACAUGGCAGAUUGUCAUUUCAGUGCUUUGAUGUUGGAUGUUCUAAUAUUUCAUUACUGUUGUCAUUUCAUGUCUUCUGGUUGUUCAUUUGCUAACUAGAGAGGUUCUGACACCAUCGUUUAAGUCCCCAUUACAUGUAAUCAUUUGGUGGUUUAGUACCUGUUUGGCAUCAAGUUUCAGGAGCCAAAAAGCACUUUUCAGAAAAAGUACCUUUUUUUUUUUUUUGGUAUAAAGAAGUUUACGUGAGUCGAGGGCAUACCACCAACCUCGUUCAGGAAUUGUAAUGGAGUUCACAAAUUGCCUCUUAGGAGGGACAGUUUAUAAGACUCUUAACUUUCAACUUAGUGGGAGCUUAUUGAAUUUUACUAUUUGAACCAAUCCUCUUUGUCUAAGCACUAUUUUAAAUGCCGUUAAAAAAAGCAGUUUAAAACAAGCUAUCUUGUUAUUUUGAUGUUUUUAUGACUAAAACAUAACCUAGUUAUGAUCAAAGGGGGAAGAUCAAUCAAUAUAAAAUUAAAUUUUGAAAUUGAAACUCAAAUUGAUCAAUGUAACUAGCGAAUUGUGUUCCUUCAGUUUUGGGUUAUCUGAAACUAAGAUCAAUAAACAAAUGUAUCAUUCUUAACUGCAAGAUGGAUUUAUUAUUGGUGUUUUUUAUAAUAGAUAUUAAGCUUAAUGUGAUACGAUGGAAUGAUGUUACGGGCUUGGCUUUUGAUGGCUUUUUCGUUACUUGUCUUGUAGGGCCCAGGCUGUCAACUAAAGAUGGUGUCUAGCUUUGUAACUGAGGGCGACUUCUAAGAAUUAAGUAUUGUUGGUGAAGACUUGAUUGCUAUAUGCAUUUAACCCUGGAAUGCUUUUCUUGGUUUCUGGAUUUUCAUAGCCUGAAACGUUAACAGGAUUAUAGGUUAGAGUUUUAAUGGUUUUAUAAACCCCAGAUUGAUGCUGGGUCCAGUUCUGUGUUGUGUUUGAUUUCCAUGACAAGACUGGUUUGUUACUAUGAGCUUAGUAUUAUCACUGUUGAAUCUAAGGCUGUACUUUGUGCAAAAAGUGGUGUUCUUUUCCGCUUGCUUCCCAUCUAAGGAUGUACUUUGUGGAAUAAAGGCAUUAAUAUCUUUCGAUUAUUUUCUAGUGAGGACAUUGAUGCUUUUCUGCUGUCAAUCUCCAUGUCUAUUUCUUGUAUACAAGUUCCUGUCUCGCGUGGUUUUGUGAAUUU